UGUGUGUUGUGUGUGUGUGUGUGUGUGUGUGUGUGUGUGUGUGUGUGUGUGUAUGUGUGUGUCACCCACAUACACACACACACACACACACACACACACACACACACACACACACACACACACACAUAUAUAUAUAUAUAUAUAUAUAUAUAUAUAUAUUAUAUAUAUAUAUAUAUAU
rnacentral:snoRNA from 1 species